AUGUUAACAUUAGCUGGUAGCUUGCAGG
rnacentral:piRNA from 1 species